rnacentral:rRNA from 1 species
ACCUUAGGUCAGCCAAAAUUACCUGCUAAGUUUUAGCAUAUCGACAAGUGGAGAAAAAAAACCUACUAAAAUUCCCCUAAUAAUGGCGAACGAACCAAAAAAAGCCCAGCUUGAGAAUCGGAUGCCCUUGGCAUCCAAAUUGUAGUUAAGAAAAGCAUACUUAAUGGCGGACCAGGCAUAAGUCUUUUAGAAAGGGGCAUCGAAAAGGGUGAAAACCCUAUUGUGCUUGGACCUUAUCAUACCAUAAGGCACUAUUUACGAGUCAGGUUGUUUCAGAAUGCAGCUCCAAUCGGGUGGUAAAUUCCAUCCAAGACUGAAUAUGGGUGAGAGAUCGAUAGCAAACAAGUAUCACAAGGGAAAGAUGAAAAGUACAUUGAAAAAAAAGUCAAAGAAUGCUUGAAAUUGUCGAGAAAAAGUGGAUAGGGGCUAGUGAAGCACCUUGGGUGGAUGUGGAAUGGUAAGAGCUAGUGCACUAUUGACUCACGGUGUGGACUAACAUAGGUCUUGAUGGUAACCCAAGCCUGAGCUUUUGAUAUGCCCAUGUAGAUGUCAUCACUUGAUUAUGGAAUGUAGUACACGCUAUCUCGGCAUGCCUAGGCACCUUGUGCUUUCAAUUGGGCCCAUAUUGAAAUGCAAACUAAGGUGUCUAACGUGUGUAUGAGUCAAUAGGCUAAAAAACCCAUAAGGUGCAAGGAAGUUGAUUGGCAAGAUUCUUCGUCGAUGUACCACCAAUCAACCUUGAUCUUUUAAAAAGGGUUUAAGUGUGAGCAUGCCUAUAGGGACUUGAAAGAUGGUAAACUAUGCCUGAGCAGGUGAAGCAAGAGGAAAUUUUGGUGGAGGCCUACAGCAAUCUCGACAUACAAAUUGUUCAUCUGACUUAAGUAUAAGGGCUAAAGACUAAUUGAACCAUCUAGUAGUUGGUUCCCUUUGAAGUUUCUCUUAGGAUAGUUGGAGCCUUAGAGUUUUAUCAAGUAAAGCCAAUGAUUAAAGAAAUUGGUGGUGCAACACCCUCAACCUAUUCUCAUACUUUAAAUACAUAAGUCAGUGUGAUUACUUCAUUGAGCCACGCCACAUAAUUGAGAGCUCUAAGUGGGCCAUUUUGGUUAAGCAAAAUUGGUGAUGUGAGAUGAACUAGAAGCUGGGUUAAAGUGCCUAACUACACACUAACCUAGAACCUACAAAGGUGUUAGUUAAUUAAGACAACCAAAUGGUCAUCAUGGGAGUCAAAAUCCACUAAAGAAUAUGUAACAACUCACUUACCGAAUCAACUAACCCCAAAAAUGGAUGGCACUUAAGCGCUCUACCUAUACCCAAUAGUUAGGGCAAAAGCCUAGCCCCGUUGAGUAGGAAGGUGUGGCAAUCACUGUAAAACCUAAAGUGCUAGCUCAAGUAGAGCGAUUGUUAAUGUAGAUCUUGGCGGUAGUAGCACAUAUUCAAAUAAGAACUUUGAAUGCCAAAUAAGGGAAAGGUUCCAUGUGAACGGCACUUGUAAAUGGUUAGUCCAUCGUAAAAGAUGGGAGAAGCCCAUCCAAUAGUGCAUGCAGCGUGAGCUUCAAAAAGGAAUCAAGUUAAAAUUCUUGAACUAGGAUGCGAGGGCUAACGACAAUGUUAGGGAGUCUAGAGACAUCAGUGGGGGCCUCAGGAAAAGUUAGCUUUUCUAUUUAAUGGCCUACCCACCCUGGAAAUGACUUAGUCGGACGUAGGAUUCAGUGGUCGAAAGAGCACCGCAUGUUACAUGAUGUCUAGUGCACCCUUGACGGCCAUCGAAAAUCUAGCGUACCAACUAUCAUUCAUGCUCAGUCAUACUCAUAAUUGCAUUAGGUCUUUAAGGUGAACAACCUCUAGUUCAUGGAACAAUAUAGGUAAGGAAAGUCGAUAAAAUGGAUCUAUAUGCUCGGGAAAAGGAUUAGCUUUGAAGGUUAGGCAUAGGGGUCCCACUAUCAAACUUGUCAAAUGUUGGUGCACUACUCAAGCUACUCCUAUGGUGAGAGUAAGUCAUCGCAUGUUGGCCAAGAGAUGGACUAUGAACAGUUCCCUUAGUGGCCUUCCUCGGGUGUGAACAGUUGACUCAAAACUGGUAUGAACAAGGGGAAUCUGACUAUUUAAUUAAAACAAAGCAUUGUGAUGGUCCCUACGGAUGCCUACAUAAUGUGACUUUUGCCUAGUGCUCUGAAUGUCAAAGUGAAGAAAUUCAACCAAGCAUGAGUAAAUAAUGGGAGUAACUAUGACUCUUUUAAGGUAACCAAAUGCCUCAUCAUCUAAUUAAUGAUGCACAUGAAUGAACUAAUGAAAUUCCCAUUGUCCCUGUCGACUAUCUAAUAAAACCACAACCAAGGGAACGGGCUUGGCAGAAUCAAUAGGCAAAGAAGACCUUGUUGAACUUAACACUAGUUUGACUUUGUGAAAUGACUUCAUAGGUGUAGGAUAACUGGAAGCCCUUGGGCGAAAUUGAAAUUCCACUACUUUUAAUGUUAUUUUACUUCUUUUGUGAAUCAGAGGUGGGGCACAACCCCUUUUCUUAGACCUAAAGCCAGCCUUGGUUGGUCAAAGUUAGUGGAAAACAUUGUCAGAUAGGGAGUUUGGCUAGGGAGGCACAUCUAUUAGAAAAUAAUGCAAGUGUCCUAAGAUUAGCUCAACAAGAACAAAAAUCUUAUGUGGAACAAAAAGGUAAAAAAUAAUGCAUAGCCUAUCGAUCCUUUAAACCUUUAAAAUUUGAAGCUAGAGGUGUUAGAAAAGUUAUCAUAGGGAUAACUGGCUUGUGGCAGCCAAGUGUUCAUAGCGUUAUUGUAUUUUGAUCCUUCAAUGUUUGCUUUUCUUAUCAUUGUGAAACAAAAUUCACUAAGUGUUGGAUUGUUCACCCACCAAUAGGGAACAUGAGCUGGGUUUAGACCAUCAUGAGAUAGGGUAAUUUUACCCUACUGAUGGUAGCAUUGCAAUACUAAUUCAACCUAGUAUGAGAGAAACUAUUGAUCAUACAAUUAGUCAUUGCACUUGGUUGAAAAGCCAAUAGUGCGAUGCUACUAUAUGUUGGGUUAUGACUGAACAACUCUAAGUUAGAAUUCAGGCUAGAAAAGGCGCAUACAUCCUUUGUUCAAUUGCUGAUCCAUAGUAGGGGCCCAUGGCUCCCCAAAAGCAUGUGUUAUAGGUGUAGGCCUCAUGGUGGACAAGCUGCAUAAGCCUUCUUAGAGUUCAAUUACCAUCGAG